GUAGGUGAACCUGCGGAAGGAUCAUUAACACGUAUCCACGUAUCAACCCCUCUGUGAAAACCUACCCUCGAAAGGCUUGGUCUUAGUGUGUUGCUCGUUAUGGAUCCUAAUGAUGGCGGCCUCACGGCCGAGGGCUCGAGCAGCAUGUGUUUGACGAUCAGCCGCCACUUUCCCAUUGUUGGUCCUUUUUACCAUUUUUAACCCCUUUGUACUCUUUUGUACUGAACCAAUUCUUCGAUGCUCUUUUACU
rnacentral:misc_RNA from 1 species